CCUGGCUCAGGAUGAACGCUGGCGGCGUGCCUAAUACAUGCAAGUCGAGCGAAUGGAUUAAGAGCUUGCUCUUAUGAAGUUAGCGGCGGACGGGUGAGUAACACGUGGGUAACCUGCCCAUAAGACUGGGAUAACUCCGGGAAACCGGGGCUAAUACCGGAUAACAUUUUGAACUGCAUGGUUCGAAAUUGAAAGGCGGCUUCGGCUGUCACUUAUGGAUGGACCCGCGUCGCAUUAGCUAGUUGGUGAGGUAACGGCUCACCAAGGCAACGAUGCGUAGCCGACCUGAGAGGGUGAUCGGCCACACUGGGACUGAGACACGGCCCAGACUCCUACGGGAGGCAGCAGUAGGGAAUCUUCCGCAAUGGACGAAAGUCUGACGGAGCAACGCCGCGUGAGUGAUGAAGGCUUUCGGGUCGUAAAACUCUGUUGUUAGGGAAGAACAAGUGCUAGUUGAAUAAGCUGGCACCUUGACGGUACCUAACCAGAAAGCCACGGCUAACUACGUGCCAGCAGCCGCGGUAAUACGUAGGUGGCAAGCGUUAUCCGGAAUUAUUGGGCGUAAAGCGCGCGCAGGUGGUUUCUUAAGUCUGAUGUGAAAGCCCACGGCUCAACCGUGGAGGGUCAUUGGAAACUGGGAGAC
rnacentral:rRNA from 1 species